UACUCAAGUUUAAAUUUUGUGUUAGUUC
rnacentral:sRNA from 1 species